rnacentral:lncRNA from 1 species
CUCCGCUGGAGUAAAGGGACGAUGCUGAACGGUGGGACUGAGCUGAUUACACCAACGCAAACGGCAGGACUUACCGGAACGACCAGGAAUUCCAGUGCUGAUCAAAGACCAAUUUCUGGGGCCAUGCUGUUCAACCAAUUUGAUUAAGGUAGCGUCCUCUUGAGGACUCCACGACCCCUUAACUCGAUUAUGAUUAUUAUUAUUGUUGUUUGAAUUUGUAUUGUUGUUGUGAUUUGGGAGGGCGAUUCCGAUCAAAACCAUGGCGGAAUUUGGAUUUGGAUUUUUAGGGUUUUGAAGUUUAAUUGAAGAAGAAGAAAGAGGAGAGAUAAAUGGGAGAUUUUUCUAACCGUUUCCAAACAGGGGUUGUUGGGCAUGAACCGUAAAACCGCUACUUCAAAUAACGACUUUCUCACUACUUCCACUUCUAACAAAU